rnacentral:lncRNA from 10 species
CACAGACUUCUGACCUGGGCACAGUUGGGAAGGGUGACAAGGGGUCAGAGCAGGCUCUUGGCCUCAGGUCAAAGGACAGGAGUCCUCCUGACUCUGCUGUGUCUGAAGCCCACAGUGAAUGCAAUGCAGAAAAAGCAGUGCUUGACCCUUUGUUUUCUCCGGGGUUAGGAUCCCUGAUAUGAUUGGGCUGUGUCCCCACCCAAAUCUUGCCUUGAAUUGUAAUGAUCCCCACAUGUCAGGAGUGGGGCCAGGUGGAGAUCAUUGAAUCACGGGGGUGGUUUCCCCUGUACUGUUCUUGUGGUAGUGAAUAAGUCUCAUGAGAUCUGAUG